rnacentral:rRNA from 1 species
UACGAAGGGGGGCUAGCGUUGCUCGGAAUCACUGGGCGUAAAGGGUGCGUAGGCGGGUCUUUAAGUCAGGGGUGAAAUCCUGGAGCUCAACUCCAGAACUGCCUUUGAUACUGAGGAUCUUGAGUAUGGGAGAGGUGAGUGGAACUGCGAGUGUAGAGGUGAAAUUCGUAGAUAUUCGCAAGAACACCAGUGGCGAAGGCGGACUCACUG